GAAGAGGCCAUUGCAAAGAUCCAGGGUAUCCACUAAACCAGCAUGCCAACAUUGGCCAAAGUGAAUAAUGGCCAGACAAGCUUCAAUCUCAUGGUAGAGUACACAUCUAUCACUCUUUAGGAGGAGUCCAGGGAAGAGAGAUCCACUGCAGCCAGCCAUGGAAGAAAGGAAACAAGGACAAUCAGACUCUUACACUGUCAAAGGUCUGGAAGAUUACAUCACCUGCCAGUAAGAGUACCAAGAGCUAGACACCAGAUAGCCACACAGUAAAGAGGAGAUCAUUGCCAGAGUACAGGGUGUCCAUUAUACCAGCAGCCAUUUAUUAGUCAAAGUGAAACCUUGAUUGCAGUCUCCCACUCUAUGUUAGGAAGAGAUAUAUACCAGCUAAAGGAGUACUGGGAGCCAGGGCUGACUUUGGCCUGCAGGAGAUGAUAAGGGACAAGGCUCAUCUUGAUCAAAUGUUUAAAAGCAGUUCUUCCUGUUGAUAGAGAAUACUCAUUGCCUGCAGCCUACUGUAGAAGUGAGGGGAGUUAGACUAGCCUGGAUCUAGUAUUCAAGAGCAUUCAUGUUUCCACUUGCAUUCCAAGAAGGUGACAGACUUUUGCCUAACAUAAAAACAGAGAGUUGGACUAGCCUUCUACACCAGUCAUAGAAGAACCUGUAGGACAGAAGAAGAUUCCAGAUUAAUGGCUUGACCUGAACACCAGAAGGAGGAAGAGAGGAAUACCAGACUGACAGGACUUGGAAGAAAGAACAGCAGUCAGGAGAUGGACUUUGUGAAUAAUAUUGAUGUUUGGACAUUAUACAUCUCAGACAUACAUAUAUAUGCGUGUUUGUGUGUUAUGUUUGAGUGUGUUUAUGAGUUUAUAAGGUUCAUUGUAAAUUUUGGUUUUUGUAAGCCUCUUAAUGGUAUGCUAGCCCUUACAGUUUCACAUUUUUUAUAUUCAUUGU